AAUAAUCAUCCUAAUCACCAUAACAGGGCUGUCUGGUUUAAAACAACACAAAAAAUGAGCUUCAGUCAGCCUACCCCCCAGGCUCGUCUUUCCCAGUAUUAUUGUGUAAGAAACAAGGAUAGAGUAAUGAUAAACCGCUUAGACAACAUCUGUGAAGCAGUGUUGAAAGGCAAAUGGCCAGUAAAUAGGCGCCAGAUGUUUGAUUUCCAAGGCCUCAUCCCAGGUUACACACCCACCACAGUGGACAGCCCCUUGCAGAAGAGGAGCUUUGCUGAGCUCUCCAUGGUCGGCCAAGCCAGCAUUAGUGGGAGUGAGGACAUCACUACGUCUCCUCAGUUGUCAAAGGAAGAUGCCCUCAACCUCUCUGUCCCUCGCCAGCGGAGGAGGAGGAGGAGAAAAAUCGAAAUUGAGGCCGAAAGAGCUGCCAAGAGGCGAAAUCUCAUGGAGAUGGUUGCCCAGCUUCGAGAGUCUCAGGUGGUCUCAGAAAAUGGACAAGAAAAAGUUGUAGAUUUAUCAAAGGCCUCAAGAGAGGCAACAAGCUCUACCUCAAAUUUUUCAUCUCUUUCUUCAAAGUUUAUCUUGCCUAAUGUCUCAACACCAGUGUCUGAUGCCUUUAAGACUCAAAUGGAACUGCUCCAAGCAGGCCUUUCGCGCACACCCACAAGGCAUCUCCUUAAUGGCUCCCUAGUGGAUGGAGAGCCUCCCAUGAAGAGGAGGCGGGGAAGGAGGAAAAAUGUGGAGGGACUUGAUCUGCUUUUCAUGAGCCACAAACGGACGUCAUUGAGUGC
rnacentral:sRNA from 1 species